rnacentral:rRNA from 1 species
UACGGGGGGGGCAAGCGUUGUUCGGAAUUACUGGGCGUAAAGGGCUCGUAGGCGGCCAACUAAGUCAGACGUGAAAUCCCUCGGCUUAACCGGGGAACUGCGUCUGAUACUGGAUGGCUUGAGUUUGGGAGAGGGAUGCGGAAUUCCAGGUGUAGCGGUGAAAUGCGUAGAUAUCGGGGGGAAUACCAGUGGCGAAAGCGGCACCCUAGCAUUUUUCUGACGCUCAUGUGCGAAAGCGUGGGGAGCGAACGGG